AUUCCAGCCGUGCACCUCAAGAGAGAAAAGAACCAAGUUUCUUCUUCAAUUUCUUCUUCAAAUCUUCACUAAUUUUUCACCAAAUCACAUCAAACUUUGAACACACAUUGCUAAACACUUGGUGAUUAUCUUAAACUAGAAGAAGGACAUCAUCUCACGAUUUUUCUUAGAGUUUUUUGUGACCAAAAUUUCUGAUUUUAUCAUCUAAAGAGGGUUCGAGACCAAGAGUGCACGUGAAUAGUACUAGAUUGCCUUCUUUUGAAGAUUUUAAAUUGUAUUACAGCAGAUGGCUGUAGUAAAUAUUCUUUUGAGAUGUAUUAAGCUUGAGAGCUGAUUAAUUGUAAGUGUGAGAUAUUUUGGAGUACUUUUAUUAUGUAUUGAAGUUAUUUGAAGUAUUAUUGAGGUAUUCCGAGUUUGUGAAUUGUGGAAUGUAAUGAGUCCUGGCGAGAGUUGGGCAGACGUCCCGCGGAUACCCUUUGGUUCGCUUUAGGGAGAAGUGGGGCGUCACAUAUUUUUCUUGAAUAGAUAUUGUUUUUUCAUGUGUUUUAACUGAUAAGGCUGUUUUGAAAUCUAAA